rnacentral:sRNA from 22 species
UACCACGCCAUGGUGAAGGUAUGGGAAACCACCUAAAUCAUUCCUUGGAAUGUUUUGCACACCUAACGCGUGGUAUU